rnacentral:sRNA from 1 species
CUCUUCGUUACACCCUCACGACUAAUGACAGUACUCAGCCCUUUACCUUUCAAGUAACCGCUUUACAGCCAUGGUGUAACCUGAAAUCUUUCGGAUAUAUUUUUUUAAGUACUCUCAUUAGCCGCGCGAGUCACUGUAACUAAAGAGGUUCAACUAGUUAAGAAAUGGAAUUUAAGUUUCUUAAUCCCCAUUUCCUAGAAGAAAAGGGGCCAGAUUGGCCCCUUUCC